GCGGUUUUCAGAGGCAGCGGGUCCAAUAGAUACGGAGGUAGCGCUGCAGAGAAGGGCCUGGGGCUACAGGAGCCCCAUGUUCCUCCGCCGCUGUUACUUCCACGUGUGUUGGACAUUACGCUGUUCGAGCUGCCUGGUGGCGUCGCUGGACUUCUUGGAGAACGGCCUUCUGCCUUCACGUUGCCUCCUACGGGACUCGAAGCUCCGCUGUCUACUCCUAUACCGCUUUGGGACGUGGACUUCUGCUGGGCCAGCCUCUCCUGCUUCCGGAAUUUCGCACGUCGAUUUUGGAACCAUACCUGCAAUUAUAGGACACGGAUUUUGAUGAUUAUUUUUAGAUGAGGGGCGGAUGUAUGAGAGAGGGAACGUUGGAUGGUUUGACGCGAGUGCUUGAUUUUGAAGAGACAAAUGUUUUCGGUUAAAUUGUGAAGGAAUUAAACGUGGACCUUCAAGAGUUCUUAUAGCUAUAGGGUAUUAACCCUUUGCAUUCGAGAGGCUAUUUUCCGUGACCACGGCGUUCCAUGUGGCAACUCGAGAGGGGAAUGGGAGGCGAUAGUCGCUGUUUAUGCUAAAUUUCCACCUCUCCAGUUGAUGAGAGCGCGGUAUUGGUUCGUAAAUAGAUUCCUUGGCUCUUUAUAUUGUUUGUUAUGAAGCGUGAAGUGUUACACUUUAAGCUGCAGAUGAAAUAUUUCUGCUGAAAUUCUUCCGAAACUAUGGUUCUGGCAACGUCUCCGACGUUAGUUCACAUUCGAUGAUGAUGAUGGUGGCAGAAGUAUUACAAUUUCGUAAAUUUAGAAACUCUAAAAAGAUGGAUUUGGAAAUUUGUUUAAUUAAUUCUUAUAUUCUGUAAAAAAGCAAAAAAGAAAAAAAACGAAAGUCUACUUAACCACGAUUUAUAAGAACUUUAGUAUA